ensembl:lncRNA novel transcript
GUAACAGCCAGAGCUAGAGACUCCGGCCUGGGGUUCUGGCUCUGUCCCGUAUCAGCUAGGAAACCCAGGGCAAGCUACUUAAACUCUCAGAGGCUCAGCUUUUUCAUGAGCAAACAGGAAAACAGGGCUAAUGAUUAGUCCUUGGCUUAAAAUACAUACCGCGUGUGAAAUUGCAGGUAUAUAAUAGAUUCACUAAAUGAGAGGGCGAGUUAUCAACACUUACUCUCCAAUGCGUCAUCACCCCCAACACUCCUGUGUAUUUCCUGCAAAUAAGGAUCUUCUCCUACAUGGUCAGUCCGAACAACCUUCAGUCACAACUGAGAAGGUCACAUGGUGCAUCACUGCCGCUCAGUCUCCCCAAGCCCAGUGAUUUCUUCACAAUUAGGGAUCUGAGACCCGCAGUAUGGCAGUGACAAGAUCCAAGUCUUGGGACACCUAGCCAGGAGGGAAGAAUUUGAGGGAGAGGUGGAAAAUAUGCGAGGCUGAACUGACCUUCAAGGACAAGAAGGCUGUGUUCAGAUAGACAGAGUUUGUCUUCUGGGAGAGGAGUGGGCUUAUCCAGGAUGAUCCCAAAGGCAGAUUGAGGACCAGUGGGAGGACAUCCUGAGAAAGCAGAUCCAGCUUUAGGCAAGGAAGGACUUCGUAACAGGCAGAGAGCCCAUGUUGGAAACAAGCAGCUCUGCAAGGUGUGGGCCCACUGUCUGACUCCCUGCGGGGCUGCUGCCUUGGAAGAGCCUCCUGCUUAGAGAGGUUCUCCUGCCGCCAGCUGUCUCUCCUGAGUCCUGAGCACCACAUCUCUGGACCGUCUGGAGCCUCCCCUCCCUUGGCUUACUGCUCCCACCACCCUCUCUCUCCACCUUGCAAGAGACACUCUCCCUCAUCCUGGGUCAUCACCCUCUUUAGAGGCGCCGCCUGGCCACGAGGGUGUGUUAGGAGUUACAUCCACUAACCUCUGGGGCUAGAAUGUUCCUCCUAAUCCCGGAUUACCAGCUUACAACCCCAAUGCCCACUUUCUCAAACAAGCCUCGUCUUUUUAAAGACAGGAUCUUGCUCUGUCACCUAGGCUGGAGUGCAAUGGCACACUCACGGCUCACUGCAGCGUCAAACUCCCAGGCUCAAGUGUUCCUCCUACCUCAGCCUCCUGAGUAGCUAGGACCACAGCACAGGCCCAGACACAAAGCAGAUGUGCAGUGGAGUGUGAAAGAGGCAGCCAACUCACUGGGGAGCUUCAGAGGGAGAUGGCCCAAAUUGCUGGGGCCUAAGAAUCUCCCGGAAUGAAGGAACAGUAGAAAGAACUGGAAGCCAAAUAUGGUGAUAGAGACUCUCAUCAAGGACACUGAGUAAACCAGAAACCUGCUUGGGCUCACGUUCCUUGUCUCUUCUUCUCAGAUCCAGGAAAGGAGCUGUCCAGGACAAUGAGGAUAGGCUGAGGAAAGACAGGCCACGGCCUUGCCUCUGUGCCAGCUCUCAUGGGCCAGGCAGAGUAUCCCAGGACAACUGCCUCCACAACCAGCUCCAUCCUUCAUCAGCAAUUCAGUACCUGAUUAACAAAUCUGUACCCCAGGAGGUUAUGCCAAGUCCAACUUCUUCCAGAGACCACAACAAUAAAUCCAAGCCACUGCUAAUGUCAUUUAUAAGCUGUGGGAUUAAAACAGAGAAGCAAUCAAUUAAUUAAAAUUAGCUCUUUAUUGAAACUAUAA